GGCAGCAAAUAAUAGUAAUUUCCUUUUGGGAAUCUAUAUACUUUUAAUGUUUUACGACAUACCUUCGUUUUUCAAAAUAUUUGUUAUCUUGAUAUCGAGAAUUCUGUGAUUUUAAAACUUCCCAUAAUGUAGGGUGGUCCUCAUCCUAUUGAACGUUAUAUUUCCUAUGAAUAUCAAAAAUCAAUUCCAAAUGUAAAGUAAAUAAAAAAUUCUCCAAACAAAGACAAAGGUAAGUAAGAAGGACCAUGCACGUGUAAUUUUUCGGAGUUUCCAGUAAUAAACCCUUAAUAUAUAUUGUAUUAUUUUAAUUAAUUAUCGAGAAUACUGAAAAUUUCUUAUAGUGUAAGGUGGUCCUUAACUCCAAAUUAAAUAAAACAAUUAGAGAGGAUCGUAGAGAACGUUAUUUUAUUAUUGAUAACAGGUAGGCAUAUGAAAAUGUUUAUUAAUUGAAGAACGUAGAAUUUAAAACAAUGUUAAUAAGAUUAAUUUCAAGUUCCAAAAAAUAGCUGCAUAUGUAUAAAGUACAAAACAAAACAUUUUUGUUAUCUUGAUAUCGAGAAUUCUGUGAUUUUAAUAUUUUCAGUUCCUAUAGUGUAGGGUGGUCCUCAUCCCCAAAUAUAUUUCCUAUGAACAUCAAAAAUAAAUUCGAAAUGUGAAGUAAAUAAGUAAUUCUUCCAACAAAGAUGAAGGCAUCUUGUAUUAUAUAGGUAAUCAAUUAUAUAUUUAUUUCAUAGCUAUCCCGCAACCUUUGUACGAGUCAAUUAAAAGUUACAAUUAAUUGGCUCAACAGGCAUGGGUGGUUGAGGCCAGUGUUUUGGACUUGAGAAAAGACGAAUCAUACUUUAAACCUCCUGAUCCUUUAUCCAUUGAAGGAAGCCUAGCUGAUAACUGGCAAAAAUUUUAACAAAAAUUCCAAAAUUUUCUGACUGCUACAAGUUUAAGCAAUGAAAAUGAUGAAAAAAAGGUUCUAUUGAAUUUAGUUGGUGAUGAUGGUCUUGAUUUAUUUAACUCUUUUGAUCCCAGAAAACUCUUGAUAAUGUUUUGAAAAAAUUUAGAGAUCACUGUGAACCAAAGAGAAAUGUUAUAUAUGAAAGGUUCUUAUUUAACAGUUUAAUGCAAGAAGAGGGAUAAAGUUUCGAUAGUUUUCUGACAGAAUGGGGAAUUCUCCUCAAUUUGGGUUUUUGUAUUAAAUGAAAGUUUACAUCAAAUAACUAUAGAUUAAAUAUAAAUUAAUUUUUAAUUCACUCUCUAAAUACCUAAAAUAAUUAUUAGAAAUGUUGGUUUUUAAACUUUAAAGCGUUUUGUUGCUACAGCACAUGUUGGCAACAGCGCUUUAGCAUGCCUUCUCCGAGACAGAAACGGAAGAUCCCAAAAACACAAACAAGACAGAGAAGGAAAUGAAACAGCUGUUUAUGGAAUACAUGUGGUCCUAUGCCGUAAAUAACCUAACUUUUUGUUACGGUUGUUGUUGUUGCGGUAUGGAGUGUUGCGGUUAUACAAGUUAGUUUAGUUGUGAUUUUUGCGAGUUUAUUGUGAAUUUUAUGACUUAUUAGUGGCUUAUUUAAAUUUUAUGACUAGAUACAAACAUUAUAAUAUUAUUUCAUUCCCUCAUUGAGAGAUAAAUAAUCAAUAUUUCAAUAUGAAAAAGCUGUGUUUUGUACCUUCAUGUUUAAAUUCAUCGGAAAGUACACCCCAUAAAUUAUUUAUAUUUGUUCCGAGAAACCCAGUAGUGAGAAAAACUUGGUUUGAUGCUGUUGGGCGUACAUUAGUAAAAACAACAUCAUAUUGUUGUGAAGAUCAUUUUAAUUUAAAAGAAGAUUCUAUAGACUGGGAAAAGUCCACGUAUUAAAAUUGGCAUCAUACCUCAUUUAUUUCUACAAGAUAGUUGCAAAGAUUUCAGUUUUACACAACUUCAACAAAAACAAGAAAUAUCAUCUGAGGGUGAGGAAAAUACUGAACUUGAACAUCCAUGCAUCUCAACUACAUUUAAAAAUAAUAGAGAUGAAAUGUACUUGGAGACAUUGCCAUCUACUUCUUCUAGUACUUCUUCAUGGUUACAAACUAAAUCUAGUGAAGAACAAUUUAACAGUGAUCUAAGUGAACACGAGGAGCAAAAUGUAGACUUUAAAAAUUUUAGUGAAAAAACAGAAAUCCUUGCGAUUGAAAUGCACCCUUGAUUUUAUUUAGGUUUAACUAGUGAAGUUUACUAUUUAGUGAAAAUUAUAUAUAUUCAUCAGAAAGAGAUGUACUAGUAGUUUUGAAAAAGGUUAGAUUAAACAAUAUAUUUUUUCGAUUAGGUUUGGAUUAUUGAGAUUGUACUUUUAUUUUUCCUAUUAAACUUACUAUAUAUUGCUGUUUGUUUUUAGGUGUAUAUACAUAUUUAACUCUUUUUGAGAUAAGUUAUGUACAACUAAAAAACGAGAAUACAACAUUGUGAAACUAUUUUAUUUAUAAAUCCUAGUUAACUUUGGAAAUACGUAUUUUUUCCAGAAUAGUAAACUAUUUUCAAUUAACUCGUUACAAUAAAUUUCAUUACACGUAACAUUAUGUAUAUGAAUUUUAUUAUUUGUUUCAAAUUCUGGAUCUGCAACUGCAAAAAUUGCUUUAGUCUUCUUACACAUUUUCAUUAGCAACUGCAUCUGACCCAUGUAUUUUUCAAUAAUUUUUCCAUCCUUGACAAAAUUACUUAUACUAGUCAAUGGACAUUUCACUUCUAGGACUGCAUCACUUGAAAUGGCAUCAGGCGAGGCUCCAAAGACUGGUAACAUAUUAUUUAAAACAAGUCCACAUUUCGUUGUUUCAAUUCCACAUAUAUUUUCAAUGCAUUUUAUAACCCCGUCUUCUAAUUCUAAGCCUCUCUCCAUGGCUUUUGUCUGCACAAUUUUUGUAGCACCAAAAAUUUUCUCGAGUAAAGAACCUUCUGUUUUACACCGGCUUGCCUCAUAAAUCUUCGAAGCUGUAAUUCGACCAAAUCUUAAUUCAUACCAGUAUAUAUUUUUGGACUGGUUUCUUGUAGCCUCUGAAGCAAGUGCACAAUCAUUUGCAUCCAUUUUUUUUUAACAGUACUCUAAGAAAAAUUCUGGAGUUAUGUCGAUAUCAGCAUUUUCUAUUUGACAAUGAAUAAAUAGCUGGUGUAACGAUAAAGUAGGAUACAAAGGACCUCUAUCCAUAUUUAGUAACAAACUAUCUAUGGAUUUUCCUUUAUUAUGUUAUAUUAUUGUUCCUUUUUAAUUGCACAUAUCCAAUGGCAGAAUCUCCAUAUGAUUGUCUUGCUGAUCUAAAACCAAAUUAAAAAAAACAUUCAGUAUAUGAAAAAGGUAUUUAUUUGCAAAUAAACUAAAAAUACUAAGUUUAUUAAAUAUUUUAAUAUGCUAUAUUAAAAAUGAUUUCUUA